GUCUUUCCUACAUGUAUUUUUUCUGUGGGCUUUUUUCCUCCUCUCUUUUGCUGUAUUUGUUUUUGUGGGAGAGUUAGGGACCUUCCAAAACCAUGAAGCUGUCACCUUCUUCCUUCCUUUGCCUAAUUUUUAAAUGAUCACAGGCUGCUCCAGCAACGAUGCGUGUCAAGAAUGUAUGGGGAGACUGGAAGAACAGACAUGAAGCUACUGCUAUGGUGAGGGAAAAGGAAAGAGAAAACAAAAGGAAAUUGGCUUUCAGUGCCUUGAAUGUGAAUGAAAAGAAUAGCAAUUGGAUUUCACAACCACUAAUCGUCUGGUUUGGAUAAGAAGGAUCCUUUUUGCAGUUAUCUGUCAGAGCUUGGCUAGGUGAAGAAGAUAGAUGGGCCUCAGAAAGCAAGGAAGUCUCUCUGAACUUCUCCCACCUAUUUCCCAAAGCAAACCAUCAAACCUAGGAAGGUUACACUCUGACCUACCUAUUCUGAGAGUAGGGUGUAAGACCAUCAUGUGACAAGUGUCCUGCCCCAUUCUUGGAAGAAAUGAAUACUACACAAAGAAACCAAAAGAAUGUGAACAAACAGGCCUUGUUGAGCUCAACCCCCAACUGUCAGCACCACCCCCCAGUUUGUUAAAUUAGAUCAUAUCUCCCUUUUUGUCCAAUCAUAUUUCUCUACAAUUAUCCACUUCUUUCAUCAGACAUAGCAUAAAAAUACACAGUGUCUCAGGGUGUUUGGACCUUAAUUUACGAAGAAUUCCAUGUCAUGUAAAACUCUGAUUAAAUAAAUGUUAUGCUUUUCUCUUGUUAAUUUGCCUUUUGGUACAGGAGCAUCAGCAUGAACCUAAUGAUGUUAUAUUGAACAUUAAAUAGCUCAACACUAUUUUUAAAUGGUAAUCUUAUCUAAUUAUUUAAAAUACUGAUUUGAUGUGGUCAAUGUUUAUUUUUUGUUAAACAUUUAGGUCUUUGAGAUGAUUGUGUACUUAACGAUGACACAGUACUUGAAAUCAUAAUGCAUUUAUUAAGUAUGAUGAAUAAUGUCUGUAUCAGUCUCUGAUAUUUAGUACUAGGAUUAAAAAUGCUGAGUUUUUUAGCUUUGCUUGUUGCUGAUAGACCUAAAAGGCAAUUUAAAAAUUCAUGUGGUGUACUGCAGAAAGAGUCACAAAACUGACAUUCAAAAUUCAUUAUACAGAGUCUUUGAGUCACAUUUCAAAUCUCAGUUGUAAUUUAACAGUAGAAGGUUUCAUCAAAUAUUGGGUCCCCACGAUAUGUGACUAGCAUCUCAAGCAAGUAUUCUGAAAACUGCCUCCUACACUAAGGACAUGACAAUCUCACACAAAGAAUUGUUUAUAUACUGACUUCCCAUGGCAAUGCUUUUGGUUAAAAAAGAAAAAAAAAAGAAAGGAAGAAAAGAAUGAAGAAAGAAAAGGAGGAAAGAAAAGAAAAGGAAAAGGAUUCAUCAAAUUCUCUCUAUGGCUAUCACAGUACAUGUAGGACUGAGUACAAUAGACUCUAGGGUCACAUAAAUCAAGGUAAAAAUUUGUUAAGUCACUCUUUCUGUAAAUAAUAUUAUAGUCAAAAACUGUCAAACUCCUGAUUAAAAUUUUUAACCCCAAAAAAGGAACAUUUAAGUAUAUUAACAAAAACUAGUGUUUUAUUGGAUUCAGUGAAUUCUAAGUUCGUAUGUAUUUUCAUUCUUGACACUCUGCUCUUUAAAAAGUGUUUUCAAGAAUGUAUGUCAUUUCCGUCUUUCCUCUGUUUUUCUCACAUAUCAUUCCACAUGUCCUGGAUAGGACACUGGGAUGCCUUUGUUAUUAUUAUAGGAUUUCACAUAUGAUUGUAGUAAAUAAUAUAUUGCCUAGGCUUUUUUUUUUGUAAAUACUUAAUCACAUCAAAUAUUCUAAUGUAUGAUGUGUUAGAUGAGUUCACAUGUUUUUGGAAAUGAAUAAAGCUUUUUCUUUGCAUUCAGGAAAUAAAUACAUGAUCCAACAGCCCCAAUAUAGGUAAGUAAAAUAAUUUUGAAAGAUUAUUUCUAGUUUUUAUUUUAUAACUCUAUAAGAGUUCCUAUAGUUUUUGCUGUUCACAUUACGAAAUGAUUUAUUGAUCACUCACAUUUUUACUAUCUUCAGAACACAGAAAAUUUCAUCAUCAUUUAUUUUCUCAAAUUUGGAUUUUUGUCUUAAAACUGCAUGGAAAAUGUGACCAGUGUGACAAUAAGUCCCAGUUUGUCUGAGACUAUCCAGAUGGCCAAUGUUGUCUUGGCAUGAUUACUAAUAGCAUCCCUUUCACUCUCAAAAUGUCCUGGUUUGUGAUAAUAAAUUGUACAGUCAUCCUACUCCUGAUCUAUUCAUUCGAUUUUAAAUUAUAAGAAUUUUCCAAAGUGAUAUCUAGAUAAAUAAUUGUCAUUCGUGGUUGCACAGGAAAUAAGGAGGGUAUUGACCUUGGUAAUUCCCAAAACUGUCAGGAUUGUUAUUGCUGCCAAGGUGAAACGUUUAGUGGCAAUAUUAUCCUUAAUCAUAG
rnacentral:lncRNA from 1 species